rnacentral:siRNA from 1 species
GAACAAAAGUUAGCCUAUAAUCGCC